GUGGAAGUCAGGCUAAGCGCUGCUUGUUUAGUAUUCCAGGCAGGUGGAGCCGUCAGGUUCUUAUCGCUUGUUUUUCUGUCUUUGACACUUGCUUCAGAAGAAUCUGCAGUGGUGUGAAUUAGUUGACAGCAAUUUAUUCCAUAUCUUAAAAUUUCCUCUUUCCUUGUUUUUUAUUCUUGCAGUGGAGAUACACUUAGAUUUGUUUUAUAUAUUAAAAAAUGAGUCAGAUUUAUCUUGUUUAACUUCUUACUCUGACUCCACAACAUUUUUUGCCCCUGAAGAACUGUUUUUAACCUUCAACACCGUAUCUGAAUCUGAGAGGCUCUCAUCAAACAUUAAAACACACUUUUUUGGUAUUUUAAGAUCUUCAACCAUUUGUAUUUAAUGAAUAUCUUUGAUCUUUGUAAAACUUCAAAAAAUUACUCCUAACCGUCUCCAUGCAGUGUUUCCAUUUUCUUUUCCUUCUGGUCCUUCUUGAUGACAGAAACUGGGUGGUUCGCAUAUUUUAUAAUUGCCUGUGCUCUUUCCUGGGUCUUCUGGAGCAAGACUAGCUUCAUGUUAUCAAUGAAAUGCAUGUUUGAGCUACUCAGGUGCACCAACUACAGUCACAAGCCCCUGUGUGACUUGUACUGUGGGUCAUUAAAGCAACAACAUUGCCAUCCCUUAUUUGCUAGAAUGUUCUAUGUCCCACAAUUGAUAUUAUUCAUAUUGUAUGUUUCACAUCUCUUUUUUUGCUGUCUGUCAAACCAAAAAAAAAAUGUGUUAAUGUGUUACCAAAAUAUUUAUAGUUCCUUUUGAGACAGGGUUUCCUCAUGUUGCUGUGAUGCCCUGGCUUGCCUCAGAGUUGUAAUUCUCCUACUUCAGCCUCUCAGAGUGCUGAGAUUACAGCAUCUGCCUGACCUACAUAGCUCUUUCCUCACUCAUCUUUCAGAAGCUUUACAUCUGUUCCCCUCCCUUCCCUCCCUUCCUACCUCAUAGCCAUAUUCCUGCACCCCUCUCACUGCACUGCCUGGCUGCAUUGUCCAGAGCAUCCAGGGUGGCAGGCAGGGACACUGGGAGAAUCUGUGUGUCAGUGAGCACAGAGCAGCCACCUGUCCCCAGACUCUGAUGCGAGGAAUUUUUUUUUAACUUCCACACAGGUAUCUGCUAGAGGAAGGAAGGAGAGUAAACGAAAAGAAAGAGCUGGAAUCACUCCUUCCAGAAGAAAGAGAGGUGCUGCUGGACACCACAGGAGAGACCUCUGAGAUUGGCUGGCUCACCUACCCACCAGGUGGGGCAAUUCUCCGGUAGGAUAGAAAAGUAAAGAUAGGUAAAGUGAAGUCAAGGAAAAUUAAAAAUUUUAAAUUAUACUUUUAAUAAAAAAUGCAGUUUGAAAAUACAAACUCAGUAAACAAUCCUUAAGAUUCUUAAAGGCACACAAUGUGCCUGGCUCCUACCCAUUUACCUGUCAAUGAACCUCAGCCGUUCCUUUUUACUUGCAAGUGGGUCUCUCGUGUAUUCUUUUCCUCUUACACAAUGGGUUUUGCCAUCACCGGAGGUGGAUAGCACCUGCUAGUGGCUGUCACACUCUUCUUCUGCAGAAGAUGACCAUAGUUUGAGGACCUAGACUGAGAUUUCUUUCUACCCCAAAGUCUCCAUGAAUAUACCCAGCCCCAGUCUAUCACGUGAUGGUCCUCUCUCACUGGAGUGCCCACAUUCUAUUUCUUUAAAUGUGUACUUUAAAAUUUUUGCCUAAUAAAUCCUUUUCUGCCUCUGA